GACGAACGCUGGCGGCGUGCUUAACACAUGCAAGUCGAACGGAAAGGCCUGCUUUCCCUUGUGGAUUGCGGGUACUCGAGUGGCGAACGGGUGAGUAACACGUGAGUGAUCUGCCCCCAACUUGGGUAUAAGCCUGGGAAACUGGGUCUAAUUCCCGAUAGGACUGCAGGGUGGUGCCUGUGGUGGAAAACGAUUUUCUAGUGGUUGGGGAUGAGCUCGCGGCCUAUCAGCUUGUUGGUGUGGUAAUGGCCUACCAAGGCGGCGACGGGUAGCCGGCCUGAGAGCGUGGACGGCCACAUUGGGACUGGGAUCCGGCCCAGACUCGUACGGGAGGCAGCGGUGGGGAAUAUUGCACAGUGGGCGGAAGCCUGAUGCGGCGACGCCGCGUGGGGGAUGACGGGCUUCGGGUUGUAAGCUCCUUUCGACCGCGAGGAAGCCACCUGGCUGGAAGGGUGGUGACGGUAGUGGUAGAAGAAGCACCGGCUAACUACGUG
rnacentral:rRNA from 1 species